rnacentral:misc_RNA from 2 species
AACGCAUAUUGCGCUCUUUGGUAUUCCGAAGAGCAUGCUUGUUUGAGUAUCAGUAAACACCUCAAAGCCUUUUUUCUUUUUUGAAGAAAGGCUUUGGACUUGAGCAAUCCCAACACCAAUCUUUUAAAGAGAGGGGGCGGGUUGCUUGAAAUGCAGGUGCAGCUGGACAUUCUCCUGAGCUAAAAGCAUAUUCAUUUAGUCCCGUCAAACGGAUUAUUACUUUUGCUGCAGCUAAUAUAAAGGGAGUUUGACCAUUUUGGCUGACUGAUGCAGGAUUUUCACAAGAGUCUUCAAAACCUCUUGUUAAACUCGAUCUCAAAUCAAGUAAGACUACCCGCUGAACUUAA